AACAACCUUCACUUUAUUUCUUCUUCCAUCCCUCACGCUCACCCAUUUCCCCUUCACCUUUCUUCUUCCUAUUUCCCCUCCCCUCAACGUCUCCACCAUCUUCAUCUUUCCACGCCAGCAACAACUUCACAAACCUCACACCACUAGCAACACCGUCCACUUCUCCUCAGCCCCACACAUCCCCUCACGCCAGCAGCUCCUUCAUUUUGUUGCCGCACCACUGAAGCCAGCAGCUUCACUGAGUAGCCAGCCAACAACCACCACUGUCCAGCCCACCAACAGCCGCUAACCAGCCGCCCAACUCCUACGACCAAUAGCUACCGAAGCCUUAAAACAGAACUAAGAACGGCAGCUCCAAAAUAGAGUAGAACCAUAACCUACUCUAGCAAUAAGCAGAGGCUUGCAAGGUGUUUUUCAGCCUCUUCCGGGCCUCUCUUGGAGCUGCCGUAGACCCGGGAUCUCACCGCCAUCACGCCACCAUCGUCGUGAAUCCAUUUGUUUGCUAAUCCUGGUCGCCAAUGCGUCCGGGGAACGUCACAAAUUUUACUCAACCGCCAAGGGAUGUAUGCGCGCCCGGGGUUCAGGCAUGACAUAAUCUUAGCCAAAAGGCGAAGAAAGCCUUGCUAUGUUUUGGGUUGCUAGAUGUAACCUUCCAUGGCAAAAUAGGUCUUGGUUGGACAAUCUACAGUGGGCUUUGAAAAUUCUCUCUGGCGACGAAUUCCAUCAAUGCAUUGCUCGUUUCUCUUUUGAAGCCUUGUGCUAUUUGGUCUGGAAGACGAGGAACAAUAUUCUUUUUCAGGACCAAGCCUUGUUUGUGCCGGCCUUGAAGAACCAUCUUGUCAAAGUCAUCAAGGACAAGGCCUUGACAUUCAGCAAUGUUGUAGACACUCCGAGAAAUAGGAGGAUUCAACGUAGUUGGGGGCUUGACCCUUCAAUUUUCUCUCCUAUAGUGUCAGAUAUUCCCCUAUAGCUUUUGUCUUGCUGGUUGCCGCCGUUGGCUUCCUUGUUUGUAUUUGCAUUCUUGUGGAAGAUGUGCAACCUUUAGGGUGUCAGGUCUUUCCUUCUUUUUCGUUUUGAGGGUCGCCGUUGUUUGCCUCCCCCCUCUUUUUUUUUUUUUCUUCUUAACACCCUUCCACUCAAUUUGACUUGUCUGUCUUCUCGACUGCAAGUUUUGUUGCUGCCGAGUCUCUUUUACUAUGUAGCUUUCUUGGUUAAAAGUCAA